AAAGAUUAAGCCAUGCAUGUCUAAGUAUAAGCACUUUAUACUGUGAAACUGCGAAUGGCUCAUUAAAUCAGUUAUCGUUUAUUUGAUAGUACCUUACUACAUGGAUACCUGUGGUAAUUCUAGAGCUAAUACAUGCUGAAAACCUCGACUUCGGAAGGGGUGUAUUUAUUAGAUAAAAAACCAAUGCCCUUCGGGGCUCCUUGGUGAAUCAUAAUAACUUAACGAAUCGCAUGGCCUUGCGCCGGCGAUGGUUCAUUCAAAUUUCUGCCCUAUCAACUUUCGAUGGUAGGAUAGUGGCCUACCAUGGUGG
rnacentral:rRNA from 1 species